AUGUCAGUUUACCCUCACUUUGUCUCAAGUGCUUUCUAAUAAUGGUUUCUUGGUUUCUCUUUGUGACCACUCUUCUGUUCCUGUUUCUGGAAGAGUCCACUGGGGAGGUCAGAUUGAUUCAGUCUCCUUCAAGACUUUCGGCUCAAUCAGGAGACACUGUCAGGAUGCACUGUGAAGCCAGUAAAUCCCUAACUUAUGAGAAUAUUGACUAUCUGGCCUGGUAUCAGCACAGACCCGGUGAAGCUCCUAAACCCCUGCUUUACUUUUCAAGCAAUCCUGCAUCUGGAAUCUCAGGUCGAUUCAGUGGCAGUGGAUCAGGGGCUGGUUACACACUGACAAUCAGUGACGUGCAGCCUGAAGACAUGGGACAUUACUACUGUCAGCAGAGCAUUGAAGACCCUCACCCACAGUGA